UGACUUUAAAGCCGCUGUAGCUGGCCUCAUGCCACUCUCGAUCCCACGGAUAAUGACAUGACGGCUGUGAUCAAACUUUCGCACCAUUGUACUACUGUACAUACAUUUUAUACAUCGAUUUUAAGCAUUUUCCAAGCAUUGCUGGCAUCUUUAUCUACCAGAUGAGCUAGGAUGGAACUUGUGGAGCCCUGAAUUAGAGACUGAGAGGUUUUAGAUAUCUGAUCCAUGGAACUAAAUGGCAGUGAUGGAGUGUUGAGAUGUCAUGAGCACAGGUCAGAUAAAGUGGCUCAAUAGAAAUGUUGUUAUCGCAAUGAGCACAGAGAGAGACGCCAAAGUCACGUAAGCCUCCAUUCCCUUGAGAUCACCAUUAAACAACAGCAGACCUCCUAUACAAUCGAUGUCAGCUGGGUCGAGAAGAAGCUCACUUAAACAUUUUGUCGGUGAUCAAUGUGACCUGAGAACAGAAGGAUAGAUCAAUGAUGAUGGUUUCUGAUUCAUCAGGGAAUAGCUGCUGUCAUUUCAACUAUUUCUGCCCAACAACACAUUCAUCGAUGCCAUCAGAUCGAAUCUGAAAACAAUGACCUGGCUGUUUAAUUUGACAUGGUACUGAAAUUGCUAAACAGUUUGGAAUAUCUAGUAUAUAUGAAGAGUUUGGUUCCAAAAUGAGAUAACUCUGUUAUGAAUGUUUUUUAUUAUGUUAUCAGGUUUUUAUUGUGUGAGUUAGCUCUAUUUUCAAGUUAUUACAGCUUGAAUAAAUAAAAAAACUGCAGUUUGAUUGCUUAUAAUUUGAAUGCACAAAAAAACUUGAUUUUUGAAACUUUUUGGAAACAAACUCUUCUUAUACUGACUGAUUUGGGGGUGUGGCCAAUAUUAAAAUAAUGAUCCAUAUUUGAUUUUUUUGUUUUUUGUUAAAGGGCUGUAAUGAUGGUAAAAACAAUAGUAACAAGUAACAAGUAACAUGUCAAAACUAUUUAAUAUUGUUCUCGGGAUACUUAUAAAGAGGAGUGUGGAUGAAGUACAUCAUUACAGAUCAUUAAAGUUGUUUUCCUUUCAAUAGAUGUUCCUCAAAGUCCAUCCCUGUUCACCUAUACAUAUAGUCUGGGUUAUAUGAAUGUUGUGUUAUCAGCCCCAGGGGAACAUUGACUUUCUGCUUCACUAGGUCAAGUCAUUACAACAACAACAAAAAUAUCCUUUGGAGUAGGAAUUUACUUGAAUGCUCACAAUAAAUUGCUGCCCUUGUG